rnacentral:lncRNA from 1 species
UUCCCCGUGGGACCGCCUUUUCCCUAGUGAAGGUGGCCUGAGCUAGAGCUGGCUGCUUCUCUCGGAAGCCACAGGUUGGGCACAGCAGCACAGCCUAUAAUCCCAGCUGCUCGAGAGCCUAAGGCAGGAGGAUUGCAAAUGUGAAGCCAGCCUGGUAACUUAGCCAGACCUUGUCUCAAAAUUUAAAAAAUGGGCUGGGGAUGUCACUUGGUGGUAGAGCACCUCUGGGUUCAAUCCUCAGUAGCAAAAAACAAACAGAAACAUAGAGUAGGGGGAGGAGGGGCAGAUCUGUCCAGAAGUAGUGGGUGGUUCGUGACUUCUGGGACAGGGACUGGGCCUCUCCCAGAGACAAGUUCUGUCUUCCAGUCCUACAUGGGCUCGCUUCCAUUGGGGUCAGAGGUGGACCAGAGUGCUGCAGGUGGAAGUCUGUCAGGGCCACACUUGGCCCCUCUGGGGAACUGGAUCUCCUGGGUUCACAGCAACAGCCUGGUCCCGCUGCCCCUGUGGCUGGCUGGCUGGCUGGGCGUCAAGUCUGGGGCAGGUCCACAGUGAGGAGAAAGGACUGUUUCUCAGGGUUAAGGAAGGUAUUUGCCUGGUGACAAGACGAUAUGUGACCUGAGCACCUUAGCUGUGGUAACCAUGCUGUCUGGGCCCCUGCAGGUGUGUGCUCGGGCUCCCUGGGAGACCAUCAUGGAUGCCGCCCAUCGGCAGGUCUGGGGAUGUGGACCUGGCUGCUGACCAGGCGAUGCACACUGGUAAUCUGCUGUCCUGCCCUAGAGAGGCACACCAGGAUGAGGCGCACCUCCAGGGGCCUAUCUGGUGCGAGCACUGGUAAAUACGAGCGAGGGCUCAGGGUGAAUCUGUGUUCACUUAGGAAGGUGACUCUGGAAGCCAAAGCCUGUGCCCUUCCCUCCCUCAGGCUGCACCUGGCCUGUCCCUGUGCCAAGUGCUCAGCUGGCACUUCACAGCACAAAGCUUGCCUGGGGGUGUCACAGCCCCCAGCCCACGUCUCCCAGCCUUGAGUCCGAGGAGCUGCUGCCAGUCACACUGCCACCCUGUGGGUCCUGGAGUUCUGCUGUCAGAGAUGUUGAAGUGUGGAGGGUGGGGGUGCAGCUCAAACCCCGGGAAGCAGCUUGCCAGCCGAGAGGCAGCAGGAGGGUGGUUGCCUGCCUGGGCCGGGCAGGGUGGCUCCAGACUCAGCCGGGGAAGCCCCAGCUCCUGAGCAGUGGCAGCAUGUUGGGGAGCUUUGCUGCAGGCAGAGCUGGUGACUGAAGGUUGAAGUCCCUGCCCCAGGGUGUACCAGGGCCCCCAAGACCCUAGAGCCCCAAGGUUCCUAUAGAUGUCGCAGGGCAUGAGAGUGGGUGUGCCCAGCACCGACCCAUCUGAGGUUUCAAGUUCAGGCUGCCUUUAAGGCCUGGGACCCAUAGGAGCUGGUCGGUGCCCCAUUCCCUUCCCUCAGCGCUCCAGGCCCCCUAGAGCAAGGUGAGUGGCUUCCCCUGGGCCUCAGGCUGCAGCCUCCGUCCAGCUGUUGCCCCGGGCCAGCCCCUCCUCUGUGGCCUGGCCAGUUCAUCAGAAGGCAUCAGUUAGUCAGGUUUUUCAGAAGAUGCUAAAACUCUUCCUGGAAGACAUGACCAUCCGCUGCUCCCAGGGCACGUCUAAAAAACCCUGACCGAACUUGGUGCUUUUAGACAGGAGAAAAGCCCCUGAGGUCAUGGGAAGAGCCAGGGCAGGGCUAAGGUGAGGGCACAGCGUCAGGCAGAGGUGGCCUGGAGGCUCCUGAGGCCUGUGCCCACUGCUCUUUGUCGUGCCUGCCUGGCGUGAGAGGCUGGGACAAACUGAGUGGGGCUGGGCAAGGGUACCCCAGCCCGUUAGCUUUGGGGUUUGCUUUCUGUCCACUGUGGUCUAUCACUGGGACACUGUGCACGUUCACUGGCUGAUUGGUGUCACCGGACCAGUGGCCAUCCACCCAUUUUCUGUUGCUUGUCCUUGUUUGUGGUCCCUGCCUUGCCCUCCUUUGCUCUCCGGCUCGGCUGAGCCUCCCACGGUGUUCACCCUUUCCUCACAGGCCCACCUGGGUCUGCAGUGCUCCUGCCCCCCUCUGCCCUGCCAUUCCCGUCACCCACCCCCAGGUGGCAGCACUCAGCUGUGAGCCAAGUUUCCUGCUAGGUCAACCAGAAAUAAGGAAAAUAAAGGUCCUCUCCAUAA